rnacentral:rRNA from 1 species
UACGUAGGGGGCAAGCGUUGUCCGGAAUCAUUGGGCGUAAAGCGCGUGUAGGCGGCUCGAUAAGUCUGCUGUGAAAGUUCAGGGCUCAACCCUGAAAUGCCGGUGGAAACUGUCGAGCUAGAGUACGGAAGAGGCGAGUGGAAUUCCUGGUGUAGCGGUGAAAUGCGCAGAUAUCAGGAGGAACACCAAUGGCGAAGGCAGCACGCUGGGACGUUACUGACGCUGAGACGCGAAAGCGUGGGGAGCAAACAGG